rnacentral:tRNA from 1 species
GCCUGGAUAGCUCAGUUGGUAGAGCGAUAGAUUGAAGAUCUAUGCGUCAGCGGUUCGAUUCCGUUUCUAGGCA